UACGUAGGGGGCAAGCGUUGUCCGGAAUCAUUGGGCGUAAAGAGCACGUAGGCGGUUUGAUAAGCGGAAUGUGAAAGCCCCGGGCUUAACCUGGGAACUGCAUUCCGAACUGUCAGGCUAGAGUAUGAUAGAGGUGAGCGGAAUUUCCUGUGUAGCGGUGAAAUGCGUAGAUAUAGGAAGGAACAUCAGUUGCGAAGGCGGCUCACUGGAUCAAUACUGACGCUGAGGUGCGAAAGCGUAGGUAGCGAACAGG
rnacentral:rRNA from 1 species